GUGACAUCUUAUUAGGAAGCUCAGAACUGCCCCUCGUCACGCUGUUAGGACUGAGCUCGGUCAUGACACACAUGAAGCUAUGCCUCGUUAUAUGUUUUAAAUAAGAUGGAGAUGCAGAUGAAAAGAUCCUACGGAAGGUAGAACACAGGUCCCAGGAAGAAUGGAAGAAAUAGUAGAUGAGGAAAAGGGUGACAAGCCUUGCUCUCUUGGGCCACAUCAUCUAGAAGAUCUCCUGCAAAUCUCUUGUUGAAGUCCAUGGAUGUGGGAAGAGUAUUAAGAAAUGAGACCUAGUGAACUUUGUGCCAGGUCUGAAGCCAUAUUUCUGCCAUCAAACAGGACUCUGCAGUUGCUCCCAUCUCUCUUUCUCUCUCACUGUUUCUUUUCCUCUCUCCUCCCUCUGACCUUUGUGGGUGAAUAAAGGAUGGGGGCCAUUUUCUAAACUCAUCUCUCCCCCCAC